rnacentral:lncRNA from 1 species
CCGGCGGCUGCCGCGUCUCUCUCGGCUCCCGCUUCCUUUGACCGCCUCCCCCCCCCGGCCCGGCGGCGCCCGCCUCCUCCACGGCCACUCCGCCUCUUCCCUCCCUUCGUCCCUUCUUCCUCUCCCUUUUUUCCUUCUUCCUUCCCCUCCUCGCCGCCACCGCCCAGGACCGCCGGCCGGGGGACGAGCUCGGAGCAGCAGCCAAGUUUAUUAACCACUUAACCUCUCAGAACUGAACAAAGACAACAUUGUUCCUGGAACGCCCUCUUUUUAAAAAAAAAGCAUAACCCCUACUGUAGAACUAAAUGCACUGUGCAUGAAACUUGGAAAAAAACCAAUGUAUAAGCCUGUUGACCCUUACUCUCGGAUGCAGUCCACCUAUAACUACAACAUGAGAGGAGGUGCUUAUCCCCCGAGUACUUUUACCCAUUUCCAGUUCCACCUUUACUUUAUCAAGUGGAACUUUCUGUGGGAGGACAGCAAUUUAAUGGCAAAGGAAAGACAAGACAGGCUGCGAAACACGAUGCUGCUGCCAAAGCGUUGAGGAUCCUGCAGAAUGAGCCCCUGCCAGAGAGGCUGGAGUGAAUGGAAGAGAAUCCGAAGAAGAAAAUCUCAAUAAAUCUGAAAUAAGUCAAGUGUUUGAGAUUGCACUUAAACGGAACUUGCCUGUGAAUUUCGAGUGGCCCGGGAGAGUGGCCCACCCCACAUGAAGAACUUUGUGACCAAGGUUUCGGUUGGGGAGUUUGUGGGGGAAGGUGAAGGGAAAAGCAAGAAGAUUUCAAAGAAAAAUGCCGCCAUAGCUGUUCUUGAGGAGCUGAAGAAGUUACCGCCCCUGCCUGCAGUUGAACGAGUAAAGCCUAGAAUCAAAAAGAAAACAAAACC